rnacentral:tRNA from 1 species
GGAGAGGUGGCCGAGUGGUUGAAGGCACCUGUCUUGAAAACAGGCCGUCCGCAAGGGCGCGCAGGUUCGAAUCCUGUCCUCUCCGCCA